GGAGAAGAGGAUGCGUCCUAUCAGGUAGUUGGCGGGAUAAUAGCCCACCAAGCCUAUGACGGGUAACCGGUCUGAGAGGACGGACGGUCGCAAUGGGACUGAGACACGGCCCAUACCCCUACGGGGGGCAGCAGUGGGGAAUCUUGGACAAUGGGGGAAACCCUGAUCCAGCAAUUCUGCGUGCGGGAUGAAGGUCUAUGGAUUGUAAACCGCUUUUCUGAAGGAAGACGAAUGACGGUACUUCAGGAAUAAGCGACGGCUAACUUCGCGCCAGCAGCCGCGGUAAUACGAAGGUCGCAAGCGUUAUCCGGAGUUACUGGGCGUAAAGAGUCCGUAGCUGGUGUAGUAAGUCUGAUUUCAAAUCUCCCGACUCAAUCGGGAAAAGGGGUCGGAUACUGCUACGCUGGAGAUUACUAGGGGUUAGUGGAAUUACCGGUGGAGGGGUGAAAUCCGUUGAUAUCGGUAGGAACGCCAAAAGCGAAAGCAACUAACUAUGGUUUUCUGACAGUCAAGAACGAAAGCUCGGGGAUCAAACGGGAUUAGAUACCCCGGUAGUCCGAGCCGUAAAUUAUGUCUGCUAAGUGUUUGAGUUUGUAGCUCAAGUGCUGUUACCUAACGGGUUAAGCAGAUCGCCUGGGUAGUAUACUCGCAAGAGUGAAACUCAAAGGGAUAGGCGGGGGAACACACAAGCGGUGGAUUGUCUCGAUUAAUUGGAUAAUAAGCCAAGAAUCUUACCUUUACUUGACAUGCAAUGUGUCGUGGGAGUAACACUCACUAGCGUAGCAAUACGCGCUUUGCACAGUUGGUGCAUGGUUGUCGUCAGUUCGUGCCUCAAGGUGUCGGGUUAAUUCUCGAAACGAACGCAACCCUCAUCCUAUGUUACUAUGUCAUAGGAUACUGCUCUGGUAACGGAGAGGAAGGAGUGGAUGACGUCAAAUCCUCAUGCUACUUACGUGAAGGGCCUCAGAGGCAAUACAAUGGGAU
rnacentral:rRNA from 1 species